GGGCAUGUAGUUCAGUGGCAGAAUCCUCGUUUAGCAUACGAGAGGUCCAGGGUUCGAUUCCCUGCAUGUCCA
rnacentral:tRNA from 1 species